CUCCAUGUACUCAUGCAGAUACGAAACAAUAUUUGAGCAGUCCUAAUUAUUCUAACAUAAUUCCAUUAUUUUUUCAGGAUCUUAUUUAUUGCUUUGAAAACUGUGCAGUGAGGGCAAGGAUUGGGGAGAGCAGGCCCACUGGUACCCUGAAAUUUUCUACACUCAGUUAUGAUUGAGUAGAAGUUGUGAUACAUGAGGGAUUAUGGAAAUUCAAAUAAGAAGGAAGUUCCCUGUUCUACAGACCUUCCAAUCCCUGUGGAGGACAAAUGGAAACAAAAAAAUCCUUGAGAACAGGAGACACUCAUUUUAGUGUUACUUUGCUGUCUUCAAAACAUCUGAUUUGACUUACUAAUCUGUAAAUGAAGAGGAGUCAGAAACUGCUUCACAACGAAAUCAGCCUUCUGGACAUCUUCAAAUCAGUAACUUUUAUCAGCUCACCUAGGUAAGCCAAUAUCCUUUGUACCCCCAAAGCUGGGUAUUUCAAAGCAAUUUUAAAUCAGGUUUUUCAAAUCAGGGCUUCCAAAGCAUCCAGAAAAAUCCAGCAUCCAACUGACACCAAAUAUCAGUGCAAACUCUGAAAAUGUUUCUCUGCCUGGGGUUUGUGUGGCAAGGCUUUAGCACCAGAGGAGGCUGCAGGAGUGGCACCUGUGAGAUGACACCAGGAGCUGCCUGAGUGUUGGACAAAGUCAGGUCCAGCCAUCUCCAGGACAGAGCCAGAGCUGUCCAAAGCUGAGCCUUUCACAGCCAUGGUAACACCUCUGUGGUGACAUAUUUAAGGGGCAGAUAAGAAUGACAAAAUGUGAGAGCCACCCGCGUCAGUGAGGAAAGAGGGGCAGGCGCUGCUCCAGGGGUCAGAGCAGAGA
rnacentral:lncRNA from 1 species